rnacentral:rRNA from 1 species
GUAGUCCUGGCCGUAAACGAUGUCGACUUGGAGGUUGUGCCCUUGAGGCGUGGCUUCCGGAGCUAACGCGUUAAGUCGACCGCCUGGGGAGUACGGCCGCAAGGUUAAAACUCAAAUGAAUUGACGGGGGCCCGCACAAGCGGUGGAGCAUGUGGUUUAAUUCGAUGUAACGCGAAGAACCUUACCUGGUCUUGACAUCCACGGAAGUUUUCAGAGAUGAGAAUGUGCCUUCGGGAACCGUGAGACAGGUGCUGCAUGGCUGUCGUCAGCUCGUGUUGUGAAAUGUUGGGUUAAGUCCCGCAACGAGCGCAACCCUUAUCCUUUGUUGCCAGCGGUCCGGCCGGGAACUCAAAGGAGACUGUUAGUGAUAAACUGGAGGAAGGUGGGGAUGACGUCAAGUCAUCAUGGCCCUUACGACCAGGGCUACACACGUGCUACAAUGGCGCAUACAAAGAGAAGCGACCUCGCGAGAGCAAGCGGACCUCAUAAAGUGCGUCGUAGUCCGGAUUGGAGUCUGCAACUCGACUCCAUGAAGUCGGAAUCGCUAGUAAUCGUGGAUCAGAAUGCCACGGUGAAUACGUUCCCGGGCCUUGUACACACCGCCCGUCACACCAUGGGAGUGGGUUGCAAAAGAAGUAGGUAGCUUAACCUUCGGGAGGGCGCUUACCACUUUGUGAUUCAUGACUGGGGUGAAGUCGUAACAAGGUAACCGUAGGGGAACCUGCGGCUGGAUCACCUCC